CCCAGACUCCUACGGGAGGCAGCAGUGAGGAAUAUUGGUCAAUGGGCGGGAGCCUGAACCAGCCAAGUCGCGUGAGGGAAGACGGUCCUACGGAUUGUAAACCUCUUUUGCCGGGGAGCAACGGGGUCCUUGCGAGGGCCCAAUGAGAGUACCCGGAGAAAAAGCAUCGGCUAACUCCGUGCCAGCAGCCGCGGUAAUACGGAGGAUGCGAGCGUUAUCCGGAUUUACUGGGUGUAAAGGGCGUGUAGGCGGGAAAGCAAGUCAGAUGUGAAAACCAUGGGCUCAACCUGUGGCCUGCAUUUGAAACUGUUUUUCUUGAGUACUGGAGAGGCAGACGGAAUUCCUAGUGUAGCGGUGAAAUGCGUAGAUAUUAGGAGGAACACCAGUGGCGAAGGCGGUCUGCUGGACAGCAACUGACGCUGAGGCGCGAAAGCGUGGGGAGCAAACAGGAUUAGAUACCCUCGUAAA
rnacentral:rRNA from 1 species